rnacentral:rRNA from 1 species
AUUAGUUGCUACGAAAGAGCACUCUAAUGAGACUGCCGGUGACAAACCGGAGGAAGGUGGGGAUGACGUCAAGUCCUCAUGGCCCCUUAUGGGUAGGGCUUCACACGUCAUAUAAUGGUACAUACAGAGGGCCGACAACCCGCGAGGGGGAGCUAAUCCCGGAAAGUGUAUCGUAGUCCGGAUUGUAGUCUGCAACUCGACUACAUGAAGUUGGAAUCGCUAGUAAUCGCGGAUCAGCAUGUCGCGGUGAAUACGUUCCCGGGUCUUGUACACACCGCCCGUCACACCAUGGGAGCGGGUUUUACCAGAAGUAGGUAGCUUAACCGCAAGGAGGGCGCUUACCACGGUAGGAUUCGUGACUGGGGUGAAGUCGUAACACAGGUAGCCGUAUCGGAAGGUGCGGCUGGAUCUAUUUCUCAUAAUCUGGUAUUCUCUC